rnacentral:rRNA from 1 species
CAACAGGGAUUGCCCCAGUAACGGCGAGUGAAGCGGCAACAGCUCAAAUUUGAAAUCUGGCUCUCGGGCCCGAGUUGUAAUUUGUAGAGGAUGCUUUUGGUGAGGUGCCUUCCGAGUUCCCUGGAACGGGACGCCAUAGAGGGUGAGAGCCCCGUCUGGUUGGACACCGAUCCUCUGUAAAGCUCCUUCGACGAGUCGAGUAGUUUGGGAAUGCUGCUCUAAAUGGGAGGUAUAUGUCUUCUAAAGCUAAAUACCGGCCAGAGACCGAUAGCGCACAAGUAGAGUGAUCGAAAGAUGAAAAGAACUUUGAAAAGAGAGUUAAAAAGUACGUGAAAUUGUUGAAAGGGAAGCGCUUGUGACCAGACUUGGGCUUGGUUGAUCAUCCGGGGUUCUCCCCGGUGCACUCUUCCGGCUCAGGCCAGCAUCAGUUCGCCCUGGGGGAUAAAGGCUUCGGGAAUGUGGCUCUCUCCGGGGAGUGUUA